rnacentral:rRNA from 1 species
GAUGAACGCUCGCUACAGGCUUAACACAUGCAAGUCGAGGGGAAACGAUGAGAGAGCUUGCUCUCUUAGGCGUCGACCGGCGCACGGGUGAGUAACGCGUAUCCAACCUACCCAUUACAGGGGGAUAACCUUGCGAAAGUAAGACUAAUGCCCCAUGGCAUUUUAUGGUGGCAUCAUUAUAGGAUUAAAGAUUUAUUGGUAAUGGAUGGGGAUGCGUCUGAUUAGCUUGUUGGCGGGGUAACGGCCCACCAAGGCAACGAUCAGUAGGGGUUCUGAGAGGAAGGUCCCCCACAUUGGAACUGAGACACGGUCCAAACUCCUACGGGAGGCAGCAGUGAGGAAUAUUGGUCAAUGGGCGAGAGCUUGAACCAGCCAAGUAGCGUGCAGGAUGACGGCCCUAUGGGUUGUAAACUGCUUUUAUAGGGGAAUAAAGUGAGAUACGUGUAGUUUAUUGCAUGUACCCUAUGAAUAAGAACCGGCUAAUUCCGUG